UCGGUCGGUGGACUGGUGCUCGUGCUGGCGGUGCUGGCGCUGCUGGCUGGGUUCACCGGGGUUGGACCCGGUUCGGCGCCGGGUUGGCCGGGC
rnacentral:tRNA from 1 species